rnacentral:lncRNA from 1 species
GGGAACUUCGGAGGGCCCUCAGGCAUCCACUCUACCCGGGGGCCGCCAGCCGCACGCAGCCUCGGAUUCGCCCUGCACAUCUGCCGCCCAGCAGGUUUGAAGUGGGUGGCGUUGGAUGGAGUGACUGAGAAAAGCUGCGACAUCACAGAGAGACAAAAUAGAGAAAGUUUUCCCCUGGCCACCCCUCCUUGGCCUCCAGGUCUUAAGUCAGCCUACAGCUCCCCACAACUGCCUCGCCCGAGAGCUGCAGAGAUCCCUCUCGUACCGGAGCCCAGCCAAGCCAGUGCGUCAGGACCGACACAGCCUCUGGGUUCCGGGAUCUGAAAGGCUGCGAUGGAUUCUACUUGGAAGGGGUUGCAUCAGAAAGGCCUUCAGUGGUCAGCGCAGCUCCCUCCGGCUUGGAGAAGCCAGGCUGCUAUGUAGCCAGAGAACAGUCUUUUCCCCAGCGCUGCCCUGCAGCUGCCCGGCUCCAGGAAGUAGCUCCAGCACACUGCUAAGGGAAGAGCACUGGAAUUGAACUCAGAAAAACGAGUUCAAGCCAGCACUCCAAUCGGUCCCUUCAGCCUGAGUGCCUUUAUGCCUAAAGUUUUUGUUGUUGUUUCGUUUUUUGUUUUUUUUUUUUUCCGUUGCUGUUGAAACGGCAUCUCGUUCUGUGGCCCAGGCUGUAGUACAGUGGCGCGAUCAGGGCUCACUGCAACCUCUAACUCCUGGGAUCAAGGGAUCAUCCCGUCCAGGCCUCUCAAAGUGCUCGAAUUACAUGCGGAUGCCAUUGCAUGCGUGGCCUACGCCUACGGUUCUUGACCCUUCUGAACUUCAAAUUUACCCUUGUUAAAUUGAGGGAUAAUAAUAGUGAUACCUACCUCUAGGAUAGCUGUGAGGGUUAGGUGAGGAAAACAAACAGCUCUAUCCAGCUGAUUGAACAGAACUUUCCAAAGGGCAGCUAAGUCAGGUCCAGAUGAUCCAGUCAAUAUUUGUUGAUGCCUUUUACAUGACAGGCAGAAAAAGCAUUUGUGAUGCACACAAAUUUGUUUAAGAAAGCUCGAAAAUCUGUCCAACUGGGGACUUAGAAUAGGGUACAUCAGCUGGGCCAAGGGCCUUGAUUUAUUACAAUUGCUACCCUUAAAUCUUAUCUGGUGGUGGAAUUCACCAUGUAUAAUGACUUAUAUACCCUUUAUUCAGAAUUGGAGAAUAUUCCAAGCAGUGCGACACUCUGAUCCUUAUGCACCAGUGUCCUACAUAGGAGGACUGUGCUCCUCGAAAACUGAGGGUCAUUGUCCCCUUUCAUCCAUCCUCCAAACAGCAUUUCUGAGUCCUCAACUCUCAAGCCUAAGAAUAUAUGUUGUGAGUCUAGAGAGAGCCUGAAGCCAGAGGAUUAGUGGAAUCAAUUUCCCUUCUUCCUAUAACUCCAAAAGAGAGCUUCCUCCAUAAAUCUUCAUGCCUUUUCAAUCUACUUAGCUCUCUCAAGCAGUGAGGUUGGUAAUUUUAAGAUUCUUUAUUUGGGAAGAAGAGGUGAUUAAUUCAUACUUUCUACACCCACAGCUGUUUCAAAUAUGGACCUCAGGAAAGUGAUGGUCCAGGAUGAUUCAUACAACUUAUUAUUCCUAAAAUUAUGAGCCUGGGAUCAUAUACUGUGAGAUAAGAACAAACUUUUAAAGUUAAUGGAUGCUUCUGAGUUCCCUACUUAGAAUUGAGAAUUGACACUGGGGACCUAAUAGCAGAAACACCCUCCACUGAGUUAGCCAAGUCAGAACCUCAGUGUCAUCGUGGACUUUUUUCUCUCAUUCACCUGACCCACACAUAGCAUAAACCACCAAGUGAUCUCUAUGCCACCCAAGUAAUAACGGUCUUGAAUCUGAUUACUUCUGUCCACUAUUUGUCUCCAUUAUCUUCGUGUAGAGUGUAAACCACAGUCACCCUAGAUUAUUGCAAUAGUGGUCUAACUCAAGGUCUCUUGCUUUCAGCCUUGCCUCUUAUUCCUUUCUCUCCGAUCAGUGUCUCCAUUUUUCCACAAGCCUUUAUGAAAAGCUAAAUCAAGUCAUGCUUCUCCGUGAAAACUCAUUAAUGAUUUCCUGAUUGUCCUCCAGGUAAUACUGAAACUCCUUAAUGUGGCACACAAGGCUUUCCUGAUCUGGCCGCCUUGUUUACCUCUCCGAUCUCAUUUCUUGCCACUCCUCUCUUUUGUAGAUACUCCCUCCCCUCCCUAACCUGUCCCUUUGGUCCCUGCCACUCUUCCCUUACAUACAAAUGGAUACUGCUCAAACUGUAGCACUUUCAGUUCUCGGAGGUGGAGGUUUUGUAUUCUCUUUUUCGUCGAGACUGCUGCACCUGCCUCUGUUUAGAACAUUUCUUGCACUACAUCCACCUAUCCUCCUCAACUCUUAAAGAUACAUUGUUUCAUUUUAGACAGCUUCUUCCAGGAAACCUCCCCUGAUGAUUCCAGGACACUUAUUUUUACCCCCAAGAGAGCUGUUAUGAUCUCCUCAGAAUUCCCCAUUUACUUGUUUGUUUUCACCAAAGCUUGUAGGCAGUGCCUAGUACAAUUCCUGUUAUACAGUUGACACUCAAUACAUAACUGUCAAAUGAAUUAAUGCCUGAAUGAGUGAAUUCUAUAACCCCAUAAGGGGCCCAUCAGUGCAAGAUAAAGAACAUAGAUACAACUUGUUUUGAAAAUGAUUCAGAUAAAGCUGCCUCCACAAUGUAUUUGUAUCUGAUGAUUGGGUGUGUGCCUAAAAAAUCCAACAUGUGUUCAGUGACAGCUUUUACUGCAGAAGUGCAGGCACUGAGAGGCUGUGCAGUAGCCUUGCUGUCGCCAUAGCAACCUAGCAGAGGGAAAGGCUGAUGAUUUAGUGUUCAGAUGCCUCUUAGCUCUGUACUUUUGGAACCCAAGCCUGUUUUUCCACUGUUCUAAAAGGCAAGUUUUACCGAUGAUAAUAUCUAUGCCGCCUUAAUUUCAUUCAAGUGUUUCUCAUGUCAUUAGAAGAAAUGUCUUGUAACAUUUGGAUUAUACCAUCAAAGAGAUAUAAUCUAAUACAGCAUAAUAUGGUCUUCUUUCCCCUGCUUUAAAAUAGUCUUAUGCAUCAUUUUCAUUUUUUACUUAAAGACUUACUUUAUGGUCUUGUUUUAUCACCUUUUGGCUUCUUUAAAAAUUAAUGUAUUUCUGGCUUUUAGAAAAUAUCAAUUGCUUUAGGAUUUAACCUUGAAAUAUUAUAAAUAAUAUAUAAUAAUAUAUAUAUACAAUAAUAUAUAUAUAUAAUAUAUAUAUAUAUCUCCUGGCAAAGCACAGGAGAGAUAGGGUAUUGUAGACUGGGAAGGAAGGUAAUGUCUUUAUAUAAUUAUUCCCUCAAAUCUGGGAUAAGUUACUUGAUUGUUUAUGUGAAAUUUGUAAUUAAAUGAUUCCUACCUUUCGUAUGCACAAAACUUUAUAUUUUCAGAACUCUUUCACAUAUAUAAUUUUAUUUGAGCCUCACAAAAAUCCCGUGAGGUACAUGUGGCCAAUCUCUGAGACCAGAUAACUGAAAAAGCAUAGAUUUUUAUUAAUAGGAAUCCCCUAGACUGCAAACUUCACAGAGAAGACAAUACAAAUGCACUGCUGAAAAGAAAACGCCUGCACCAAACAACCCAGACACAUCACGGUCCCUCACAUUCACUCUUCCUCACAUCUCACCUGUGUAUGCAGGGGGUUUUCUUGGGCUCAAUCAGGGCUGACAAAGCACCAUCUCCUAAUCCUAUCAGCUGUGUGAGCAAGAGCUGCUGUCUCUCUCGGUGACCUAAUGUUGGGUGAUCUGCACAGCAACAAGGAGCAGCUGACGUGCUUCACAACACGUCACGAAGGAAAGAAACUGCAUUCUGGGGCAUCGUGAGAUUUUUUUGUGUGUGUGGUGGGGUGGGGUGGAGACCCAUAUUUUUCUUACCAGGGAGAGAGCUGCCUGUUUUCCCAUAAGAGCAUGUGUGAUUGAUCAACCCUCCUCCUUUUUUUUUUUUUUUUUUUUUUUUUUGGAGACAGAGUCUCACUCUGUCGCCAGGCUGGAGUGCAGUGUGGUGCGAUCUCAGGUCACUGCAACCUCCGCCUCCUGGGUUCAAGCUAUUCUCCUGCCUUAGCCUCCUGAGUAGCUGGGACUACAGGCGCGCACCACCACACCAGCUAAUUUUCGUUAUUUUAAGUAGAGAUGGGGGUUUCACCAUGUUGGCCAGGAUGGUCUCCAUCUCCUGACCUCGUGAUCUGCCCGCCUCGGCCUCCCAAAGUGCCAGGGUUACAGGCAUUAGCCACCGUGCCCAGCCCAACCCUUGUCUUAAUGUAUGUGUGUUAUCAUUACUAUAGGUUGAGGUACUUUGAUGCUGUAAAACUGAAAUGACUAGAAUUGCACAAGAUCACUCCCCCAGGAGGUGGCAUAGAGGUGCUUGGGGCAGAGAGGGCAGUGGGUAACCUGAGGCAGGCCAUGCUUGAACAUUCACUGGGCUCAGAAUGUGUCAAUUAUCUCUGCCCGACAAACGAGUGUUCAGUCAGAGUAUUCUCUCAGUGAAUAACAGAAAUUAAGGGCAAGUCCAGGGGAAGAGGCAGAGGUUGGGGGCUUGGAACGUUGAAGGAUGGUAAGGGUCUAAUCCUCUGAUGCCUUAUGGGAGAGCAGACAUGAGAUAGCCUCCCCCAAAAUGGCUUUUUGUUUGUGGCCUUUGGUUCAUCUUUGAAAAUAGGGUAGGAUAUUUGUCAAAAACAUAGGCACGGUGAUUGCAUUAAACAAAAUGGGGACACAUUGUUGGACAAGUAGGUGUACACUUAUUAGGAAAAUGAAUCAGAAUGAUUGAAAUUAAGACGCUCUGGAAAGUAUGCGUGUAAAGGUUGCCAUCUAAGUAGGGGAAACUGAGACUUGACAUUUACCUAGUGAAAUGCUUCAUGUGAUUAGACAAUCUGUUGGUCUCACAGGUGUACAGAAAAGGCAAAGGAUGUUAUCUGUAAGACAUGAAAAGGAAAGCCUAAAUCCAGUAGAUGAAUUCUGGGGCUAAUAGAGAAGCACCUUCCUUCCCCAAGAAACCAGAAAGUGUGGGAAAAGCAGCUGAAAGUUGCCUGAACCCAGGAGGGCAGCUAUAGAGAGAGGAUGCUUCUCAGACAUGCCAGACACAGAGCAGAUACACAGGCUGGAGGCUCUGAGGGGUUCACUCAGCAUCCAUAGCAGUCUAGGCUUAGAAAAAAAAUUGUAAUCUGGGUUCCUGGAAAGCAGAACAAUGGUAGAUUUGAGUUACAUUAAAAACAAUAUGUUCUCCAUAAUGCACUUUAUUUCCAUGAUUUUAUAUUUUUUGCUUCCACUUUCUAGUAAACAUCUUAAAAAAUAACUUUGUCUUUAUUUCUGCUGAGAAAAUGAGAGCAGGUGCAAAAGAGGAAGACUUUGAGUGUCUCUUCUCAAAGAGCAAGAACACUAUUGCCAAAUGGAGCUGAGCACCCCCAGAGGCCAACCAACUACUAUGAUGGCAGCUACAGCAGGGAAUGGUUGGGCUGUUGGUGUGGGGGUCACUGGUGCAGUUGUAGAGCUGAGGAUAGUUUUGAUUGCUGCUUUAUUCCCACUUCCUAGGUUAUUCCUGUGAACCACUGUCCUUUAUACCUGAAAUCUUGUGACCUUGUGAGUAAAGCUAGCCUUUGCUGUGUACUCCCAGCUCCUCUCUAACGCACUGCAGAAGAAUUUGUAGGAAAAUAAAACUAGAAUUUGGGAAUCUGG